GAACGUAGGGUCCAAGCGUUGUCCGGAUUUACUGGGCGUAAAGAGCGCGUAGGCGGUCUUGUAAGUGUGAAGUGAAAUCUCCAGGGCUCGAACCCGGAAACUGCUUUACAUACUGCAAGACUAGAAGUGGAUGCAGAGGUUUGUGGAAUUCCUGGUGUAACGGUGAAAUGAUGUUGAUAUCAGGAGGAACACCCAUGGCGAAGGCAGCAACGUGGCAUCGAACUGACGC
rnacentral:rRNA from 1 species